GAUGAACUCUGGCGGCGUGCCUAACACAUGCAAGUCGAGCGAAGCACUUUGCUUAUAUUCUUCGGAUGAAGAGGAUUGUGACUGAGCGGCGGACGGGUGAGUAACGCGUGGGUAACCUGCCUCAUACAGGGGGAUAACAGUUAGAAAUGACUGCUAAUACCGCAUAAGACCACAGCACCGCAUGGUGCGGGGGUAAAAACUCCGGUGGUAUGAGAUGGACCCGCGUCUGAUUAGCUAGUUGGUAAGGUAACGGCUUACCAAGGCGACGAUCAGUAGCCGACCUGAGAGGGUGACCGGCCACAUUGGGACUGAGACACGGCCCAAACUCCUACGGGAGGCAGCAGUGGGGAAUAUUGCACAAUGGGGGAAACCCUGAUGCAGCGACGCCGCGUGAGCGAAGAAGUAUUUCGGUAUGUAAAGCUCUAUCAGCAGGGAAGAAAAUGACGGUACCUGACUAAGAAGCACCGGCUAAAUACGUGCCAGCAGCCGCGGUAAUACGUAUGGUGCAAGCGUUAUCCGGAUUUACUGGGUGUAAAGGGAGCGUAGACGGAUGGGCAAGUCUGAUGUGAAAACCCGGGGCUCAACCCCGGGACUGCAUUGGAAACUGUUCAUCUAGAGUGCUGGAGAGGUAAGUGGAAUUCCUAGUGUAGCGGUGAAAUGCGUAGAUAUUAGGAGGAACACCAGUGGCGAAGGCGGCUUACUGGACAGUAACUGACGUUGAGGCUCGAAAGCGUGGGGAGCAAACAGGAUUAGAUACCCUGGUAGUCCACGCCGUAAA
rnacentral:rRNA from 1 species